rnacentral:rRNA from 1 species
CCUACGGGAGGCAGCAGUGAGGAAUUUUCCGCAAUGGGCGAAAGCCUGACGGAGCAAUACCGCGUGAGGGAUGAAGGAUUUUGGUCUGUAAACCUCUUUUCUCAAGAAAGAAGUUCUGACGGUACUUGAGGAAUAAGCAUCGGCUAACUCCGUGCCAGCAGCCGCGGUAAUACGGGGGAUGCAAGCGUUAUCCGGAAUGAUUGGGCGUAAAGCGCCUGUAGGUUGUUUAUUAAGUCCGUUGUUAAAGCCUAGGGCUUAACCCUAGAAAAGCAAUGGAAACUAGUAGACUAGAGUAUGGCAGGGGUAGAGGGAAUUUCUAGUGUAGCGGUGAAAUGCGUAGAUAUUAGAAAGAACACCGGUGGCGAAAGCGCUCUACUGGACCAUUACUGACACUCAGAGGCGAAAGCUAGGGUAGCAAAAGGGAUUAGAUACCCCUGUAGUCCUAGCCGUAAACGAUGGAUACUAGAUGUUGUGCAUUAUGUACAGUAUCGUAGCUAACGCGUUAAGUAUCCCGCCUGGGGAGUACGCUCGCAAGGGUGAAACUCAAAUGAAUUGACCGGNUGAGANGCGAGACGACACGAGGAGAG